rnacentral:rRNA from 1 species
ACUCCUACGGGAGGCAGCAGUGGGGAAUAUUGCACAAUGGGGGAAACCCUGAUGCAGCCAUGCCGCGUGUGUGAAGAAGGCCUUCGGUUGUAAAGCACUUUCAGUAGGGUAGGAAGGUAGUGUAGUUAACACCUGCAUUAUUUGUACGUUACCUACAGAAGAAGCACCGGCUAACUCCGUGCCAGCAGCCGCGGUAAUACGGAGGGUGCGAGCGUUAAUCGGGUAAUUACUGGGCGUAAAGCGCAUGCAGGCGGCCUGUUAAGUCAGAUGUGAAAGCCCGGGGCUUAACCUCGGAAUUGCAUUUGAAACUGGCAGGCUAGAGUCUUGUAGAGGGGUUAGAAUUUCAGGUGUAGCGGUGAAAUGCGUAGAGAUCUGAA